rnacentral:rRNA from 1 species
UACGUAGGUCCCGAGCGUUGUCCGGAUUUAUUGGGCGUAAAGCGAGCGCAGGUGGUUUAUUAAGUCUGGUGUAAAAGGCAGUGGCUCAACCAUUGUAUGCAUUGGAAACUGGUAGACUUGAGUGCAGGAGAGGAGAGUGGAAUUCCAUAUGUAGCGGUGAAAUGCGUAGAUAUAUGGAGGAACCCCGGUGGCGAAAGCGGCUCUCUGGCCUGUAACUGACACUGAGGCUCGAAAGCGUGGGGAGCAAACAGG